GGCUACACACGUGCUACAAUGGCGAUGACAGAGGGACGCAAGCCGGCGACGGUGAGCCAAUCUCUAAAAGUCGUCUCAGUUCGGAUUGUUCUCUGCAACUCGAGAGCAUGAAGUCGGAAUCGCUAGUAAUCGCGUAUCAGCAAUGACGCGGUGAAUACGUUCCCGGACCUUGUACACACCGCCCGUCAAGCCAUGGAAGUUGGGUAGACCUGAAGAUGGUUGCUGUAAGGCGCUAUUUAGGGUAGAACCA
rnacentral:rRNA from 1 species